GCCGGCAGCUAGCUCUCUGCAACUCUCACAUGGUCGCCCACUGAAGCUAAGCAGGGCUGCGUCUGGUCAGUACCUGGAUGGGAGACAACAUGGGAAAGCUAGGUUGCUGCUGGAA
rnacentral:rRNA from 1 species